GAUGAACGCUGGCGGCGUGCCUAAUACAUGCAAGUCGAGCGAACGGACGAGACGCUUGCGUCUCUGACGUUAGGCGAGGACGUGAGAGUCACGCGUGUAUAACCUCCCUAUCAUUCUGAGAUCAUUUCGAAAAACCGGCUCUAAUACCGUAUGAUAUUCUGCACCACGUGGUUCAUUAGAAAAAUACGGCGUUGGUGUCACUACUAGCUGCUUACGAGCUGCAUUAGAUAGUUGGUAAGUUAAAGGCUUUCCAAGGCUACGAUGCCUGACCGAACUGCGAGGGUGGUAGGCCACAUGGGAACUGGGACACGGUCCAGAGUCCUACGGGAGGCAGCAGUAGCGAAUCUUACGCAACGGGCGAAAGUCUGACGCAGCAACGGCGCGUGAGUGACGAAGGUCUUCGGAGCGUAAAACUCGGUUAUUGGGGAAGAACAGAUGUGGAAGUAACUGUGGACAUCUUGACGGUAACUAAUCAGAAAGCCACGGCUAACUACGUG
rnacentral:rRNA from 1 species